GUAGGGAAUAUUGGGCAAUGGAUGCAAGUCUGACCCAGCCAUCCCGCGUGCCGGAAGAAGGCCUUCGGGUUGUAAAGCCCUUUUGUUGGGAAAGAAAUCCUGUCGGUUAAUACCUGGCGGGGAUGACGGUACCCAAAGAAUAAGCACCGGCUAACUUCGUGCCAGCAGCCGCGGUAAUACGAAGGGUGCAAGCGUUACUCGGAAUUACUGGGCGUAAAGCGUGCGUAGGUGGUGGUUUAAGUCCGUUGUGAAAGCCCUGGGCUCAACCUGGGAAUUGCAGUGGAUACUGGAUCACUAGAGUGUGGUAGAGGGAUGCGGAAUUUCUGGUGUAGCAGUGAAAUGCGUAGAGAUCAGAAGGAACAUCCGUGGCGAAGGCGGCAUCCUGGGCCAACACUGACACUGAGGCACGAAAGCGUGGGGAGCAAACAGGAUUAGAUACCCUAGUAGUCC
rnacentral:rRNA from 1 species